CUACGGGCGGCAGCAGUGGGGAAUAUUGGACAAUGGGCGAAAGCCUGAUCCAGCCAUGCCGCGUGUGUGAAGAAGGCCUUCGGGUUGUAAAGCACUUUCAGUGGGGAAGAAAGCCUUGGGGCUAAUACCCUCGAGGAAGGACAUCACCCACAGAAGAAGCACCGGCUAACUCCGUGCCAGCAGCCGCGGUAAUACGGAGGGUGCGAGCGUUAAUCGGAAUUACUGGGCGUAAAGCGCGCGUAGGCGGUCUGAUAAGCCGGUUGUGAAAGCCCCGGGCUCAACCUGGGAACGGCAUCCGGAACUGUCAGGCUAGAGUGCAGGAGAGGAAGGUAGAAUUCCCGGUGUAGCGGUGAAAUGCGUAGAAAUCGGGAGGAAUACCAGUGGCGAAGGCGGCCUUCUGGACUGACACUGACGCUGAGGUGCGAAAGCGUGGGUAGCAAACAGGAUUAGAUACCCCUGUAGUC
rnacentral:rRNA from 1 species